rnacentral:rRNA from 1 species
AGAGUUUUGAUCCUGGCUCAGAUUGAACGCUGGCGGCAUGCCUUACACUUGCAAGUCGAACGGUAACGGGCCUUCGGGUGCCGACGAGUGGCGAACGGGUGAGUAAUGCAUCGGAACGUACCUUUCAGUGGGGAUAACGUAGCGAAAGUUACGCUAAUACCGCAUAUUCUGUGAGCAGGAAAGCAGGGGAUCACAAGACCUUGCGCUGAUUGAGCGGCCGAUGUCAGAUUAGCUAGUUGGUGAGGUAAAGGCUCACCAAGGCGACGAUCUGUAGCGGGUCUGAGAGGAUGAUCCGCCACACUGGAACUGAGACACGGUCCAGACUCCUACGGGAGGCAGCAGUGGGGAAUUUUGGACAAUGGGGCAACCCUGAUCCAGCCAUGCCGCGUGAGUGAAGAAGGCCUUCGGGUUGUAAAGCUCUUUCGGCCGGGAAGAAAUCGCAUGGGUUAAUACCCUGUGCGGAUGACGGUACCGGCAUAAGAAGCACCGGCUAACUACGUG